UUAAUGACUCUCGGCAACGGAUAUCUCGGCUCUCGCAUCGAUGAAGAACGUAGCGAAAUGCGAUACUUGGUGUGAAUUGCAGAAUCCCGUGAACCAUCGAGUUUUUGAACGCAAGUUGCGCCCAAAGCCUUUUGGUUGAGGGCACGUCUGCCUGGGCGUCACGU
rnacentral:rRNA from 1 species